rnacentral:rRNA from 1 species
UAGCGAAAUUCCUUGUCGGGUAAGUUCCGACCUGCACGAAUGGCGUAACGAUGGCCACACUGUCUCCUCCUGAGACUCAGCGAAGUUGAAGUGGUUGUGAAGAUGCAAUCUCCCCGCGGUUAGACGGAAAGACCCCAUGAACCUUUACUGUAGCUUUGCAUUGGACUUUGAACCGACUUGUGUAGGAUAGGUGGGAGGCUGUGAAUCCGGGACGCUAGUUCUGGUGGAGCCAACCUUGAAAUACCACCCCUGGUUUGUUUGAGGUUCUAACCACGGCCCGUGAAUCCGGGUCUGGGACCGUGCAUGGUAGGCAGUUUGACUGGGGCGGUCUCCUCCUAAAGUGUAACGGAGGAGUACGAAGGUACGCUAGGUACGGUCGGAAAUCGUGCUGAUAGUGCAAUGGCAAAAGCGUGCUUGACUGCGAGACCCACACGUCGAGCAGGUACGAAAGUAGGUACAUAGUGAUCCGGUGGUUCUGUAUGGAAGGGCCAUCGCUCAACGGAUAAAAGGUACUCUGGGGAUAACAGGCUUAUACCG